GACAGAGGGUGCAAACGUUGCUCGGAAUCACUGGGCGUAAAGGGCGUGUAGGCGGGAAGGGAAGUCGGGCGUGAAAUCCCUGGGCUCAACCCAGGAACUGCACUCGAAACUUCUUUUCUUGAGUGCCGGAGACGGAAAGCGGAAUACCUGGUGUAGAGGUGAAAUUCGUAGAUAUCAGGUGGAACACCAGUGGCGAAGGCGGCUUUCUGGACG
rnacentral:rRNA from 1 species